AUGAAGAUGAGGGCAAGAAUAGUCCAGAUCCUAAGAAGAAUCAUAUGGCCUUCUUUCUGUUCCUUCAAUGACAGGUUCCUUGUUGCUUCAAGACUUACUCAAAGAGGGCUGCCACCAAUUUGGUCACUGGAAGAAAAGGCGGGUCUCAGGGAAUAUGGAUGGCUGUCCUCCCUUUCCCCUUCAGAUGUCAGCCGCAUCUACUCCUGCUUUCGGAAAACCCCAGGGCAAACGGACCUGCCAGGCAGCCAACCAACCACCAGCCCCCGUGAAAGGCUGGAACCCAGCUGCCCAAUUCGGUUGCUCCUGUCCAAAGCCAGACAGGUGGCAACCCAGAUUGAAUCUGUUGUUGUGGGAAUGAUUUGAUUCACAAACAAGGUUAUUAAAUUUUAUAUGGAGACACAGGCGAAAGUCACAAGAUCCUGGAGAGAAAGACCUGAUUCACAUAAAUUUAUCUUAAUAGCUGUGAAUUCGGGCGCAUAAAGCAGAAAAAAAAUUAAUGGAAAGGCAUUUCACCUCCUCCGUCUGCCUGCUCUCCUCCACUCCCCAGCACAUAAUAUGCCCACACACACACAUAGAUCAACAACUGCCACGACUCCAUCCAGCCCUUUGCAGGAGGAGCCCAACACAUUGAUCUGAGCCUGUUUUGACAUAUAAACUCCAAUUUGGCCCCAAGUCACUGCGAGUGGACACUGCCACCAACGGCUCUGACACUAGGUUAUUUGUUGUUGCUGUUCGCUGUCCCUGUUUGCACAUUAAUCCAGUGACAAUUAGGUGUCAGCGAGCGUUGUUUCUGCUUAGCUGAUAGCCUUGGGCUCUGCGCUUGAAGCCCUAAUCAGGAGUGUAAACUCUGCUAUAUUUCAAUUUGGAGAAGCGCUCUUCCGCUAAGAGGCCCCUGGCACUGCGAUAAAUAAAACGCCUAUUUACUCUAUUGCCACACUUAGACAUCUAAUGCACUUACUACCAGCCCCCUAAUCAUAGCCUACAGUUAAAACCGCCUAUAAAUCACUCCGUUCUCAUCCUGCACAUUAGUGAAGCCAUUUUCCCCAAACCCCACAAUGAGCACUGUUUCCUUU
rnacentral:lncRNA from 1 species